rnacentral:rRNA from 1 species
CAUGGGCGCAGCCUGAUGCAGCCAUGCCGCGUGUAUGAAGAAGGCCUUCGGGUUGUAAAGUACUUUCAGCGGGGAGGAAGGGAGUAAAGUUAAUACCUUUGCUCAUUGACGUUACCCGCAGAAGAAGCACCGGCUAACUCCGUGCCAGCAGCCGCGGUAAUA